rnacentral:lncRNA from 1 species
UCCUGUCAGACCCAAAUACACUCUAAUGAAAAAUAAAAUGCUACAAACAGCAAGAGACAUUAGAUAAUGAUAUUCUUUCUUCAAAUAAUUAAGCAUAAUGUUUUGCUUCACAGGAAAUUUGGAUAAAUACUGCAAGCUAUAAGAAAGCAAGAUAACUCAGUCUCACAAAAAUAUAAUUUGGUUACCUGAUAGGUACCUCAGCCUGGAGAGAUGGAAGCGCUAGCAGUAAGAAUACAAAAUCAGUUCUGAAGGUGACAUGAAACAGAUUGAGACUUCUGAUGUAAUCUAUAGAAUCAUAUUGCGACUGUUAAAAAUCAAAUAAACAUUUAAUCUGCGUGAAAGAUAAUCAUAUGACCACAUGUAUGUUUUUGCUACCAUUCAAAGUGCUACGGCCACCCCUAUCUAUGUUUGUAGCUACUCUGAUUUUUCCCUGUAAAAGUUUGUUCCCUUCAUGAAACUUAGAAACCAAUUGAUAAACUACUCAAGAAAGCUAAGGUAAGAGGAGAUGUGGACUUUCCAAACAAAGAACACCACUGAGGAAGCUUCUUAAGUACUGUUUCAGUUGGGGAAGUAAUUCUAUCAACAUCUGUCCUCAGUUUUAACAAGGGUUGCUCUGUUUUGCUAUCCUUCUUCUGAGACUUAUGAGUAUGAUUGUUGGCCCAAAAAAACAAGGGUUGCUCUGUGUUGCUAUCCUCCUUCUGAGAUUUAUAAGUAUGAUUGUUGGCCCAGAAAAGUGUCAGACUGAAUUUCCUUGGUGCCUUCUUCCCUCCUGAAAACUGAAUUAUGUGCCAUCCGUCUGCAUUGCUCUUGUCACCAAUUGGGACCAACUCUUCGGGACCGCCUGCACCGACAUCAAUCACACAAAAUUGGGAAAGAGAAAAUCAGAAGAACAGUGGAAAGAACAAGAACAAAAUCAAUUCUUAGCACAGGCUUUUAAUAAUACAACUAUGAUCUAUCAUUACGUGCACCUGUCUCAACUAUAGAAAGAGCACAUCCAUUAUUUACUACCGAGUCAUUAUUAUGAAGCUUUAUAGAUUAGGUCAAAAUUCUCUCCACUAAUUGUCCUUAGUUCCUUAUCCUUUUCUCUCCAUUUUACUUAUAGACACGUCAAAAAUAGUACUGCAGACAAAGACUCUACUUCCUAGUAUCCCAACGGCAGCCGGUGGCUUGGAGCUUUA